GGCAUCAGGAGGGCCUGGUAGCAGCGAGGUGGAGCGGCGCGGCGCCCAGCGGUGCCCGGGUCACGCCGACCCGGCUGCAGAUGCCGCAGGGCCCCACGUUCGAGGCCGCGCUCGGCAGCAAACGCGACCAUCACCGGGUGGAGCGCCGAUAAACUCUUCGCCGUUUGGGACAAACGCGCUGAGUUGGGCGCCUGGGCGGCCGCAGCCUGAGGAGGACGGAUAUCGUGUGAAGCGGUGGUGUCUGAGACAAAGAGAGGCGGAGGUUGCUGAGAACCAGGUGCUACCAUAGAAUCACAGGAUCGUUAUUGUUGGAAAAGACCUCUGGGGUCACCACAUCCAACCAGCAGCCCAUCCCAUCGUGCCUGCCCCUCAGUGCCACAUCCACACGGUUCUUGAACACCUCCGUGGACGGUGACUCCACCACCUCCCUGGGCUGCCUGUGCCACUGCAGCACCACGCUUUCAAAGAAAUUUUUCCUUAUAUCCAACCAAACCUCCCCUGGUGCAACUUGACACCACUCCUGUUUUUUUAGAGCAAGCACAGACUGUUCAUUCCAUCCGAAAUAAUCCUGUGGUGUUUUCGCUGGGGAAAGCCUUUGUGUAGACACACAUCCAUGAUAUAUCUGCAUGACAGAAACUACCCCCACAGAAAAAUAACUUGAGUUGAUGCUGCAGUAGUGAUCAGGAAGGGAUGGAUGGGUGGGUGGACCUGAACUGCAUUUUGGGAUGACUGUGCAGCUGGAGUUCACAUCUGCAGAGCUCAGAUGCAGAGACUCUUAGAUGAAAUCAGCAGAAGGAGAGGUGAAAACAGAUGGGGGUUCCACCACAAUUAAACAGAAGAGAAGUGCAGGUCUAAGCAGAGAAUGAGCUGUUUCCUGUCAGCACCCUGUGCUCUGCACCUUAGCGAUGGGUAGAGUAGGAUUAGGACUGUGUUGGGUUUGUCAGCAAAACCUUGAGCUGACUGCCCAAGUUAUCAAAGAAUGUCAUGGAAUCAUUAAGGUUGCAAAAGACCUCCGAGAUCUUCAAGCACAACCAUCAGCUCAUCCCACCGUGUCCACCAGUCACAUCCCUCAGUGCCACAUCUAUAUGUUCUUAAAGACCUCCAGGUGUGGUGACUCCACCACCUGCCUGGGCAGCCUGUUCCACUGCAGCACCACUCUUUCUGAGAAGUUUUUCCUCAUAUCCAACCUGAACCUCCCCUAGGAUGACUCGAGGCUGUCAUCUAGGGUCAGGCCUCUUGUUUUCAGGGAGGUACUGUAAGGAAGCUGCACGCUGAGUGAAGAACACCCAAAAGGCAGCCAGCUGGAAACUUGCAAAUGCACAAGGCUGUUGUAGUCUCUCCUCUUUGCAGUGCUGGUGAUGGACUCAGGUCAUUAUAGAAGUACGUCUAAGUGCCUUACCCUGAACAAAUGCUUGUGGUUGUUUUGAAGUGAUCGAGCAGAGAGUACCCUUUGGAAAUGAGUACAGCAGCAGGAGAUGGAAGCUGCUGUGCCAUAGCUCAGGGCCCUGUGUUCAGGGGGAUAAUGGCCUGCGUUUCGCUUCAGAGACUGAUGCAGGGAACGCAAAAGGCCCUUCUACCCUAACAGCCAGGAUAUGUGCCAGCCUUGUGAGUGUGUGGAUGUGCUAAUAGAAGUCUCUGUCUGGGUUCACCCUCUCCUUAAGAAGUGAUAGAGGAGAGGCAGUGGGACAGCCCAGAACCAAGGUUUCCAUGGUGUUGGAGAUGUCCGAACAGCUCACCCGAUGCGUGCAAGAUGCAUCAUCAUGAAUAAAGAAUUUCUGGUUAGACAUAAGGUGGAAAUUAUUUACUCAGAGGGCAGUGAGGCCCUGGCACAGCUGCCCAGAGAAGCUGUGGUGCCCCAUCCCUGGAGGCACUCAUGGCCAGGUUGGAUGGGCCCCUGGGCAGCUGAGCUGCGUGGGGAGUAGGGGAGCAGCCCUGCCCACAGCAGGGGGCUGGAACUGGAUGGGCUUUAAGGUUCCCUUCCAAACUAAUCCAUUCUGUGAUUCUACAGUUCUAUGUUCUGCCACUUUCAAGGAGUGAGGAGGGCAAGGAGAGGUGGGCCGCACUGAUGGCUGGUGGAUAUGGCUGUGAUUUUGAAAAGUUGCUGAGCUGGCGAAGGGGCCUGGCCUCUGUCUGUACUUCUGCUAUUAUUUCCUUUUUUUUUUUUUUUUUUUUUCUUUUUAAAACAAUAGAACUGGCAUUACAGUCAACAUUCCUAAGUGCAGCAGAGACCACUGAGCCUUUGCUCUCUAUUCUUUAGAGACCCUAACUGUAAUGGUAGCGGUGGUGCAGUACAGGUGUUCCUCUGCCAGCCUUUUUCCGGAGCAUGCUAGGUUCAAGCAGCAGUUGUUGGUGAGGAUGGGCUACAAGUAAGUGAAGAAGCAUUAAUUGCUUCUGUAGGUGCCUGGUUAUGUGUAAGACUUGACUAUUUUAGCCUAAGUGGGAGGAGAAUGGUUUUAUGACCUUAUAAUUAGCAUUUGUGUGAGAUUAACAGCAAGACUUACUAAAGCAUUUCUGAUAACACGGUUUCCUUUUUUACAUUGCUUAAUUAAAAAAGAACACUUCAGCGUGUUUUACAACACAUCUUUAAGUAAGCAAACAGAGAAGACUAAAUUACAAGGGAUGGUCUAGAGGUCUGCUACUGAGAUUCAUGGCAUCUGAAAUGUAUCUGGGAAAUUAAAGAAAGCUGAUGAUCUGGCAAAGAGUGAAUUGGGCAGAGGGCAGAGCAGUGAUACUUAGGAACAUCUCGGAGUGAUUAUUAGAGUAGCUUGGGAGGCACCAGGUUAAGUAAGAGACCCAAACUGGUCAGGGUAGGCUAACAUGCUACAGUACGUCCUUGCUGUCAGCUUUUCUAAUGGCGGUGAAGCACAACCGCUUUCGCAUAUGUGGGCUAUGAAUUUGUGAUGUAUUUACCCCCUGCAUCUCCCAUACACAUCUCUUUCUUUUUGCUCUACCAGUGGCCUCUUCAUUUCUGCCUCCUUUGAUGAUGUGCUUUUAGACUUUUUUCCAGAGAGACUGGGAUUUUCAGGAAGCCUAAAGGGAAUUACUUGCCCAGCUGCCAAUGCAUUUCAAUGUGCCUGUAAAUCUCACCCUCACAUUUUUAGAGCAUUCGAGCUCCUUGCCUCCUCAUAUUGCUACUAUUAGAUCGUCAGUUUUCUUUUCAGCACUCUGUGACUUUGGUCACAGAUGGCUGCAGCAGUCUGCAGCUAUGUCUGGUCGACGGAGCAGAUGACACCAGCGUUGUGCUUAUAUGUAAUGUUCCUAUCUGGCGGAGAGCUCAGACAGGGUCUGGUUAAACUGCCAGAGGACCUCCUGUUGGUCCUGAGGUACAGUUGGGAAGCAGGAGCUGAAUGUUGGGACGUUGCUUCUGUCAGUGUCUGAACGCUUCUCUGUCUGACAAGGUGGAAAUGGUCUUCUUACUUCUUGUUUGGGUUUGCCUCUGGUGGCCCCAGCUUCAUCCCUGGAACCUGGCUUACUCACUUUUCUGAGAAUGUUCUUCUUGCUUGGGUCAUAUCAAAAGAAUCAUACUGAGAAGACGGCUACCGACUGUUUCUUGGGACCACAGAUCUACAUUAUGCUUUAUAAACAGUAUGAAACGUGUCUCACUCUAAAGUUUACAUACUUUACCCAGAAACAAGACUUUAUUAUUGCCUUCUUGUUUUGGUGGAAUGAACCCCCGGCACACCAACACCCGGAGCAUGCCAGUAUAAACUGGCAUAAAUCAUUGCCAUUCUGCUAAGUUUGAAAAGAACGAUGUCUGAGCCACAGUCAUGUGCAGUCUGGUUCCUUUAUUUUCCAUGUGGGUCCCUCCUGCUGAGGGAAAUGAGCUCGUAAUGGGAGGCUCAUGCGUACCUGCAGCUUGUGAGUACUCCUCCUCCUCCUUGGUCCUGUUUACCCUUUGCUUUCUUCCAUCACUUUCACAUGGCUUGAGAGUGUCCAGAUGUUUCUGGGCUCGGAGCUGCUGGAAUUUUGAUUGCAGCUGACAUGCUGGUGUGCUGCGGCAUCAGGUAGCCUGCAUCUGAAAUGUGGUGAGAAGCUCUGCUGUGACCUCUGUGGCUGGAGGCCUUAUUAUUCUGACCUGUCAGAGGGAAAUCUGGGAGGUGUUGUGCUCUUGAAAAUAAAGAGUCCUGGCAUCCUCGGUGUCUUCCCGGGAAUGAUGGCCUUUGUGAGUGAUGUGCUUAUUAGACCUUCUGGUCUUAUUGCAAAUAAGGAGAUGAAAGAAUGUGCAUUUUUGGAUUGCCCACAGCAUGGCUGCAUGGUACAGGUUGGAAACUCAUCUCUCAUGGAUACUUUGUGGAGUUGUGCUGCUGUCACAGGGAGCAGAGAAACGUGGGUGUUUCUGCUGUCACUGCUUGUCUAAAAAUCAGUUCUGAGCAACUAAGCACCAUUUCUUUUAUCUGCACGAGGUAGAGGAUUUCCCAGUGCAGAAGCUAUGCACAGUCAUGGCUCAAGACUUUUGCAGUCUGUGUGACCAGAGACAAGUGCCCAAUACAGGGUAUCUGUUGUGACAGGACAAGGGGAAAUGGUUUCAAACUAAAAGAAGGGAGAUUAGAGUGAACAUAAGGGAGAAGUUUUUUUACACUAAGGCUAGUGAGGCACUGGCACAGGUUGCCCAGAUAGGUGGUGGAUACCCCAUCUGUAGAGACACUCAAGGUGAGGCUGGAUGGGGCUCUGAGCAGUCUGAUGUAGUGUAGGCAUCCCUGUUCAUUGCAGGGGAGUUGGACUAGAUGACCCUUAAUGGUCUCUUCCAACUCAAAUGAUUCCAUGAUUCUAUGAGUGCCUCUGACCAGUGCAGCAGACCAUAUCAUUUCUUGAAUCCACCAAGAAGAGGAGAGGAGACCACUGUUUUUGGCAUAUACCACUUUCCCCUUCCUGCAACACCUUCCUCAGCAGACGUUUUCAGAAAUACUGCACUAGGUGUUUAUCACUGCACAUUUUGGAGAGGAAAAUAAAGGCAUUGGGGUUUGCUUUGAGCAGUGUGUGGCUGUUCUUCCUGGAGGCCGCAGGACUCCUAGAUGCAGUCCACAAAGUCUCCUUUGACAUUUAAAGCUGUAAAUGGCUUGGGGUCUGGCUGCCAUGGAGACAUGAUCUCAGCCAUCUGACGCACAGUGUUUGAGCUCAGACAGGGACUCGAAUCAAUGGCUCCAGAAAGGAGGCAGUGGGGCAUUAUCAAUGAAAUGUUUUCAGCUGUAAUGCCUCCUUGUUGGCCUACAGACCGUGCUUUCUUUGUAGAUACCUGGAAGGACUGUAGUCCUUGUAGGCUUUGUCUGGAUAGAGUGUCACAGCACUUCUAUUUUUGCAAAGCUUGAACUGUGACCGAAGUUUCAGUAGGAUGCAUUAUUUAUACCUGUGGACACCAGUACAUAUCAGAGGGAGGGAGGUGUGAAUGUUUUCAGAAGAUGCAGAUGGGGAUUUUCAAACCAGUAAGAGCGCAGAGGACUCAGCUUCCACCAAGAAGCAGCAAGAUGUGGGCACCAAAGUUCAUUCCUUCUUUUGGGAAGGAGUCUCAGUUGCAAUCCGUAAAUAACCUUUGAAUCACAUUCUUCUCUGUCUGCAUAGCUGGAAAAUGCUUCAUGUUGCACUGGAUAAUAUGUGAAACACAGUGACCCAGCACCCAGCAUGCAGUGUGCAUAGGUCGGCUGUGCUGCAGGAACAGCCAACAAGCAGCAUCGCUGUCUUGAUGAAGUCUCCAGAUUUUAGGACUGCCUCUUGUCUAAAAUUUUAGAGUUUCAAUGUAGACAAGCCUUUUAUCUUUCCAUUUCAAUUUUUUCACCAUGCUCGGAGACAAAGAAGCGUUCUAACAAGUGAAACACGUUAUGCUUCCAAGCAUCUCCCAGCACCUUCCGAAGCUAUGCUUUAGCCACAUCAGCUUCUUUGCUGAGACAGAUGAGAUGGAAAUCAUGAUUUAUUUAUUUUUUUUACUACUGUGUGCUCAGGUGACAUAGCUAUCUGGAAUUUUGCAGUCCACUCAUAUCUUAGUGGUUCUCUUGAGAGGUGUAUGAGUAACAUUUGGGGAAGCUGUUUGUGGUAGUCCUUCAUCAUGGUAGUCACAACAGAGAUCCUAAAACAAAGGACUCAGUGUUUUACCAAGAGAAACCACAGUAACAAGUUUCAGUGUAAAUGAGAGUCGUAUUGCCUUCCAUCAGAGAUGACUUGAAAAUAAAGUACUUUGAUGGUAAUACUGCAGAUAUCUGCAGGAAACCCAGCACAGCCUUGAACACUGUAGUUAGAUAGCUGUGCAAAAAAGUACAUGAAGGGAAGAGCUAAUGUGCAAUACUUCUAUUUAAGAUAGAGGGAGGAAAUAGAAAUUGUGAUAGCAUGCUAUUUCAAGUAAUAAUAGAAAGUACUUGAUGUUUACAUGGUGAAUGGAUCAAUACUAAUUCUGUAGUCAGGGCACAUACAGUAGUUUGGAUUAUACAAGUGAUAGAUGCACUUGGUAUAGCUGAAAUUUCCACCCUGCAACAUUUAUUUCUCAGCGCGUGUUCGAUGGAAUUUUCCACCCAACUAUCUGAAAGGAUUUGCAUAAGAAUGGUGAUAGAGCAGUAUUCUUUAAUGAUGUGCUUUUCUUUGUUAAACUUCAAAAAUGUCUACGAUGCAUGAUGAGGUUCGGAUGAAUUGCUAAGCUAAUGCUUUUAUAUUUUCUUUAAAGAGCUUAUCUUCACUGUGUUGUGGGAGUUACUUUAUAUUGUUGUCAUUAAAGGCAGUAGCAGUAAAGCCGACUUUGUAGCAACCCUGGUAGGUGUGCCCUCCUCCUUUACCUCAGGUCUUCGGUACUGCCGAAGGAGACAGAUUGCAACACCCAUUACCACGCACCUGUUUGUCCUACUGUUAGCUCAUUUGUACUGCUUCUGUGGUGCUACACAUGGCAUUACUCAUGGCUGCACUGUGUCAUUUUGCGUUUAAAGCAAUGACCCUCUUCACAUUUAAUCUAGAUCAGCCCAAGUCGCUGUACUGUUUGUGGAAACUGGGUCAAAGCCAGGCUCUUCCCAGGAUGACGUCUUGAUUUAGGAGAAACUCAGGAUUAAACCAAAUGUCCACAUCUGCUAGUGGAGAUUUUUACAAAAGGAUGGAGAAGACUCAUUUUUUUUUCCUUAGCCCCUUCCAAUAAAAGUCUAAUUAAAAAAAAUCCCCAAAACUGUGAGGGUAAACCUGCUUGGAGUGUGGUGAAUUUUGGGAAAGCAACCUGCACGAAACAGUGUUUGUUUUCUUGGCCUCGGGUCCAAUGAGUCACCUUCUAAACUGCCCUGUAGUGAUGCUACUCGCGAGCCUCAAACAGCUGGGAAGACAAGGGAGAUGAGUGACUGCGAGGUUUGUCAUCAAAUCAUUGCAUGGAAGGUUCAAUUAUUCCACUUUCAUGACAGGUAGUAGAGUGGGGCUAACUCAGUUCAGAGUGAAGACUUCUAUUUGCAGUGUCAGCGUAACUGAGGAACUGUUUGGCUGAAUAUUUUGUUGGAUGUGGUUUAUUAUUAUUAUUGCUAUUAUUAUUACCUCUCCUUGUAAUAGGAAGCGAUUGUAAAGAAAUUUUAACUGAUUAAUUUUUGCCCUAAUCAUCUGAUGCUCUGAUCUGAUAUAGAACCUCAGCGAUACAUUUCAACUUGCAUUUGAUUUGUGUUUCUGAAAAGAUAAUAGUAGCUGCAUAUCCUGAUCAUUCCAGCAAUAUAUAUGGAGUGCUCUGAAAGUAAUGCCUCCUAUUUUAUGAUGUUGGCCUGCAACAUCAGAGGCAGAUACUGGUGGUUUACGAUAGAGGCUGAACCUUCCUGCCAAUAUCCCAUUCCAUUUUGCUGCCAUGUGACAGAUAACAGCAGAAGGACAGUCUGACAGAACGGCGUCUGACACAGAAGUUCACAGGAAGCAAAAGUAUGACACUGAAUUCCUCCAUGUGGAAAAAAUGGCACCCACUGACAUUCACCCAUGCUUGGUGAAUGUGUACGGAGACCAAAUAGCAGGUGUGAGCACAGUGAGGCAGUGGGUGGUGUAUUUCAGCAGCGGUGAUAGUGACAGCAGGUCACCCCCGCUGGAGCAGAUUGUUGAGUGUGGCAUGCAGGCUCUUGUUUGCUGCUAGCAAAAGUGCGUAGCUAAUGGUGGUGACUAUGUUGAGAAACAGUGUUUUGUAGCUGAGAAUUUAUUCUAUCAUUGUUCUCUUUGUAUCUGUUGUGGUUUCCAUGGAAAUAAACAGGAGGCAUUAUUUUCAGAGUUAUCUAUGCGUGAGAGUCCAGCACAUCCCAUGGGUCUGUGUCCGUAUUCAGUCAUGACUAGAAAGUAAGGACUGAUACACCUUUAUGUACUCUGCCCACUUAACUUCGGCCUCUUUCCAAGUUCUCCAGACUAUAGGAAGACUCUUUGUAUCAAGAGGAGAACACAGGUAUCUAAACUGAAAGAAGGGUCAAUGGGAGUAGUUUGGGGCUGCAUUGUCUGCUAGUUUAAUCUACAGCACCUUUUGUUUGCUUCAGAAUGGUUGAGUGCGGUGUACUGUUAGAUGCCCCUAAGCCCUCUCUGCCCCAUGCUGAACCAUCCCAGCCCCACAGACCCUGCUCACAGGAUGAGCGCUCCAGCCCCACCAUCCUAUGGGCAUUCACUGUGCGUCUCUGGCUUAUGGAACCCCAGAUGUGAUGUAGGGCCUGGAUGAGGCCCUGAUGGGUGCUUAACAGAAGGGCCUCCUGCUGCUAGGGCAGGCUGCCUGCUGCUCCUACUCCAAUCGCAUGGUGUCCUCAUUGGCCGCUUCCUUCAACACGCUCUUUAUUUAUGUAUAAAUAUUUGCCUAAACUGUAUUUUUUUAAAAAGUGUUUCUGCUGACAUAUAAGCCAGCAUGUUUAAGCCAUACCAUCCAUAAAUUCAUGCUUGCAUUUGUUGAGUUAGUGAGGUGAGACCGAUUCCCCACAUCUCUUAAAUCAGUACUGCUCUGACUCGUGUAGUCCAGACCAUAACACAGCUCUGAUCCUUCUGGAAAUGUCUCCUGGUGGUGGCAAAUUAUGUUUAGACUUAGAACCACUAUGGCUGGAAAAGACUUAAGAUCAUCAAGUCCAACCACCAGCCCAUUUUCACCAUGCCCACUAACCGUGUCCCUCAGUGCCACAUCUACAUGGUUCUUGAACACCUCCAGGGAUGGCAUCCAUUACAUGGAUUUGAGCUGUGGUUCCUCUUGUUAACAGGAAUGAAGAUGGCCUAGUGGGGCUGAUGGCCACUUCAGAGGGGGGGAUGCUGCAGCAGUACUGAUGCUAAAGCUGAAUGUACGUGGAAAGAAUCAAGGACAGCUUUAAGACACACUUUUGCAUGCGUAUGUGCUAUUUGAUGUGAAUUUCCUUUUUUUUUUUUUAAACAAGAAAUAUGCCAGACUUGUUCCUGCAAAGCUCUCCUGUCCAUGACAAAAUUGCCUAUGUGGCUGGGUUCAUUUGUUACUUGCUCAUGGCAUGUGUGCCCUUCCCAUUGCGAUGCUCCACAGUGUUGGGCAAGGUAUGCAGCACUGGGGUGGCUGUGUUGCGGAGCAAGUCUUCCUGGGGAUCUGUGUCUCAUCAGAUGUUGCGGGUAUUGGCCACCCAGAGGCACAAAUUCUGCCUGCUAAAAUGGCAGCAUGCUUAAAAAUCCGUGUCCAAAAAGCAUCUAGCAGGAGGGUAGAAGAUAAAGGUGUGUAUGAGUUUCUUGCUAUGCUUUACACUCUAGUCUUAGUUGCUAUUCUGCUACAGCUCUGUCUGACACCUCAGCAUGCCAGCUGCACUCAUUUUACACAACAACUGAAUCCCCAAUUAGUGCAAUUGAUGUUAUUUUGCCAUUUACACCUGUUCUCUGGCAAUGAACUUCUUCAAGAAUAUGUCUGGUGACUCUGCAGAAGCUGGUGAGCCCCAGCCACCACAGUUUUUUCUUAUGCCACUGUUAGAGCAGGCACUUGGGUGAGGAUAUGAUCACAGCUGAAUUGCACAAACCUGUUUCAGACUACAUUAAAAGACACCGAAGUGUUUAUCAUGGCAAUUUGGAACCAGAAUUCUUUCUGAGCUGAAAAAAACGCUGCACCCUAAUGAAAACAAAAGCAAGACCACAAAAUGACACCACCAACACUAAAACAACAACAACGAGAAAACCUUCAAUUAUGUUUCUCCUGUUAAGAGGCUUUAGCUGGACAGUACCGGAGAUGUAGGCUGUUUGCUGAAGACAGAGAUGCAGCUGGUUCCUUCUCCUCAUCCCAUCCUGCCUCUUUCCAGCAGCCAGUUCAGCUGUGGCUUGGUGCUGGAACCUCUUCUCUAGCGAGGCAAAAGCAAUGUGAUGGAGGCCUCUAGUCUGGUUUGCCAAGUACGUGGUACAGCUACGUCACCAGCCGCACUUUGGUCUGGGCUGCAACCAGGACUGAAGGUGUGAGAUUUUCCUGUCUCAAGUCUAGCUGACAGAGUGGUACAGUUUUAAACUCCACUUACUUGUGUCUGGUCAAAAGAUACUCGGCAUGAGUUUUAUUCCUUCCUUUUGGAUGGGUGGACCAACUCAGUGGCUUCUCUCGUUGUAUUUGGUUUGGCCAAAAGCUGCAGUAGUGUCUUGUGAAGCCUUCCUAAGAGACAAAUGUGUUUUGGAUUAAGGCAGUUAGAAGAAAGAAUUUUGUUGCAAAUAUUUUUCUUUCUCUCUCUCUCUCUCUCUCCCUUUUUUUUUGUAUGUACAGAAAGACUAGCUUCGCCAAGUGCCCCUUUUGCAGUCUCUUGAAUGUUAUCUAGUUUGCCCUUCUGUGUAGGAAUGGCUGUUAGAGUGUGUAGCUUCCCAUAAUGACGCGAAGUAGUGGGAUACCCCGCAUGGGAGAUUCUGGUCUACUGCUCCCAUAAAACAUUUCUGCUGUACACCAGUUCUGCACUACUGCUUUUGUCCAAAAGAUAAAAUACACCUCUGCAUGUUACCUGACCCAUAUUUCAGCACAGAUUGUGUCCUCGGCCACACCUUCUGGAAGUCUUGGCCACCUUUCAUAGCAAGUCAAUGCUUUAGUUAGUAAAUAUUAAGAGCUCUCUGUCCUUGGUGUGUACUUAGAACAAACUGCAGAUAAAAUGCUUACAAAUAAUGAUCUGUCCUAAGUAUUGCAUGAAGCUUUCCAAAAAUAGCUGUCUAUAAGUAAAAAUAAUCCUGAGGUUGUGUAUUAAUAGAAGAUGCUUCAGGUCUUCUCCUUACUUCUGGUGCAACAGAAGAACAAAAAACAAGAGGUCUGAAAUACUGCAGAGACUACUGAUGUGAAGAGAUCUUGGUCUAAAAAUACUUACGUCUUUUAAAGGGACCUACUUUUUGAAAGAAUACUGACUGCCUGUCUUCCAAAAAUUGAGUGAUUUUGUGAUGGUUUGACACAAGUUCACGUAGUCUUUUUCAUUGUCUUGGCCAGUUUUGUGUCACUAUUAUCUCACAAGCUCUGCACCAUAACAUGACCACCUAGUUGUUUUUUCAGUAUUUUAAUGUUUUUAAAGUGAAAGAAGUUAGCAGUAGAUGAGUUAUUAGUGUGAAGGACUGAAUUGCAUAAGGCCAUUUCAAAACAUCCCCUUCCCUUGAGAUUUCGGUGAAAAAAAUAAUUGCUGUUUCCUGUAUUUAUCAUUUGGUAUGGACUGCUUGUCUUGCUUGAGGGCCUAGAGGCUCUGAAUGAAAUUUCACUUUCUUGUGCUAUGUGUAGUACAGAUGGGAACUGUUGGAUAUCCUUUGUACAUUAGAGCUUGUACUCAACAGCAACAGGAAAGGUGAGGAACAGGAAACUAGGAGAGGUUUGCCUUGCUCUGUUUUUUUCAUGCCAUCCUUUAUCACAUCACUAUCUUCCAGAAGCAUUAUAAGUGAUGUGAUUAGUACUCAUUGUGUGCAGUUAUCUUGGUUUAUUUUCAUCCUGAUCCCUUCACUUUGUGUCCCAGCAGUGGGUAGGUCAGAGGAUGGUUCUGGGCACAGGGAUGCUGAGGGCUGAGGCAGGAUUUUGCCUAUCUACAUGCUUGCUCUGCAGGUGUUUCUGUCUUGCAGGUGGGGAGCAUUCCUGGGCAUGUGGAGGGUCAUCUGAGAAUAAAACAUCUGGAGAACCAGGCAAUCUGCUAGGUACCUGGGGCUGUGACCAAAGAUACAGCCUCUGGCCUCUGAUUAUAACCUUGGCUGUGCUCUGUGAGAAGUUUCACCAGUGACCAGCAACCUGGUGUAGCUGUUGAUGCCCCUGUUUGUUGCAGGGGAGUUGGAUUAGCUGACUGUUAAAGAUCCCUUCCAACUCAAACAAUUCUAUGAUUCUGCGAGAAUAGGGGAGUGUAGGAGUGCUGUGUCAGUGGGAAACUACUUGGCAGAAGAUCGUGGCUCCACUGCAUACUGUGCCCCUCCUUCUAUUGAAAUUUUAUGCUGGAUGUGCUGGGUUGGCAGGAUCCAGCAGUUGCUGAAGGUAAUGGUGUCCUUUUCAGGUCAGACUGUGCCUUCCUUGCCCUCCUGGGCUCCCAUCUGCUAGGCACAAAAUGACUGUGCUUUCUUUAAGUUACACCAGCCAUAUACAUUGUGUUAUCAAGUUUCCCUCAUUUUCACUAGGCUGUAGACACUCUUUCUACUACUUCAUAUGGGCAAUUUGAUCCCCUCCGUGCUCAUGUACAGGGUCAGACCCCAGCUGCAUUUGGACCAGUGUUGGCAUCUGGAGGCACACUUGCCUUUUAAGCAAGUCCCCUCCCGAUGCUCUGCCUCCGCAUGCAUUUUUGAUUUACUGUUUACUUUUCCAAGCACAUAACAAGAAGGCAUCAUAAAGCCUUUUAGACACACUUACUCUCUACUUCACAUAGUCCAAGAGGUCUUGUAGAGAUUGAAACAGAACAGCAAAACAUCUGCAUACGCUUAACCUUGCUUCACUUUUGGCAUGGCUCUGAGUGUUCUUUAGGCUUUGAUCAGACCUUUUUAAUCAGUCCAGGGUCUUUCUUCUUCCUCAAUAUCCUUGCACAUGCCUGCUUCUCCAGAGUCGGGAGUCUCCUCACAUUCCUGAAGUCAGUUUUUGCAUCUGUCUUCUAACUCUGAAGUGGCUAGUGAGCACCACCUUGUUUUUGUAGGUCCAGAUCCUCUUUGUCAAGGAGACUCUUGGUUAGUUAACAAGACAAUCCAUGUAGCCUCAGGAGGAGAUCUGUUUGUUAGACUUGAAAAACUGGUUCACCUCUACAAUAGCCAUUUCUUUCUGCAAGGAACUCUGUCUCAAUGGCAUGGGUAAUUAUCUCUUUAGAAAGAGGGCAAAUAACCUCCAUUUUCUUAGUAGAGUCUGCAGUAUGCAAAAUCCCUGCAUGGCAUUUAAAUUUGCAGGCUUUUGAGUUUCCAGCCUUUGACCUGCUGCCUGUUUCUCAGCAUCUUUAUCCCAUGAGGUAUGGACUUCGCUGUCUGAAAAAGAGGACAAGCUUUAGGCUCCUGAGAAGUUUCUAAAUUGAGCAUUAGAUAUUUUUAUCAAAGACUAGAGUCAAACUUAAAUCUGUCUUCAGUAGACGGAAGCCUCUCAGGACUGAAAUUUACAAUACCAAGAUCUUUAUAUGCAUAUAUCCCUUACUAUAGUGUCCUAUCUAGAAACUGCAAUACUUCAAUUUAUUUGGUAGAGCUUUCUGGUGAAUUAUUUUUUUUCUCAGUAAUUUCUCCGUUUAAGAUCCCUCCUGAGAAAUCUUUACUGUAUUAACUUCAGCUUUGCUGCAUCUUUAUCUUUAAAUAGCUCUUUUAAAUUUGCUUAGGCAAAUAUGGGGCUUCGUCUGUCUUCAACGGUAUUAAAAUAGUAUCUGAAGGGGGUGUCACCUGGGUAAGAAGACACACCACUAGACGAUACUGUAAAUGAGAGACAGAUGGAUUGCUGCUCAGAGACAACAAGAUUAUGGCCAGAAACCUGUUUACCUUUGCAAUACAGCCACCAAGCUGAACAAGUCAUCAGAACAGAACUGAGCUGAAUAAUGCAUAUCUCUACCAGUCUCUAAUUCUCUCAGCUGCAGAAGAGUUCUUUCACACCAGAGCCCCUCUUUAGCAUGCUUGCAGAGUUGUCUAAACAGAUUCAAGUGCUGGAAAGCACCUUUGGUUUAAGUUUUGCUUUGACAUUUUGUAAGUGCUGGCAUGUUGGUGGCUAGCUAACAGAAGGACUUCAGUCUUUUUGCUACAGCUGCCCUUAUGGUAAGUCUGCUGACAUACCUUAUUGUUUCCGUGAUAUGGAUGGGCUCUCUCUGGGCUAUCAGAAAGGUUCCUUCCAACAGUGUCUGCCUGUCAUGGGUAGGAACCAGGAGGACUCGCUGACCACAAAUUGUAAGUUAACAGACAUGAAAUUUAAUACAAAAAGCCAACAGAGCUGCUCAGCUGAAUUGAGCUACCACUGCAAAAUAAACAGUGAAGACAAUACCUGUUACGGGUAUUAUAGCAGAGAUUGAACAGGUAUUAUGAUUUCCAAAGCUGCUUUUUGAACUCUGGAACAUUCUAGACUGUUUAUGCGUAGCUUCAUGUCUUUUUCUUCAGUCUUAGAGGCUGCUGUGGGGGCUGAAUUUUCCAGUUGUGUACUUACUGGCAGUCCUUGCAGAUCAGGGUAGGUUUGUGUUUCUGUUAUUUGGUCAGAAAAGAAGAGAGAACAUGUCAUGUGUCAGACAGCGAAUUAUUUGCGCUUAGGCUUGGAAUGGUGAACGGACCUCUGAUCUCAGUAGUGCUAAUCUUGGCAUAGAUAAUACUCAGCUUGAAGUAAGGUGAUAAAGAAAAGUCUUCCAGUAGCUUAGCAGACUUACAGAUGCUUGUGUGACUAUGAGGUUCAGGUUCAGGACAAGUCUCUGUCCUCACUACAUGUCUUUCUUGGCAGAUGUAUCAUUGCAGUGGUCAUCAGAUGGAGAACCCAAUGGUGAAGCAGCGCUGUUGGAUCCAAAUCUCAGACAGAUGAGGGAGGUCUGUGACCUAGUAACAAAACAGAAUGAUGUCUUCCUCCUUUUUAAAGGAGGGAGAUCAGUGCUUGGCCUCAAUUACAGAUGGAUUAAACAUGUUGAUCCUGGACCACAGGGGUUUGGCCUUUCCUUUUUGUAGCAUUAUUUUCAGUAUACUCAGUGUUAAUCAGAGAAAGCUAAUUGCAUAGGAUUUUAUGCUGUCUUCUCUCAAUUUGCAGAAGAAAUAAUGUUCAUCAUCAAACCAGCAAACAAGAUGCUGCAUGUUUCUAGUCAUAGGACAUAGAGAAAGUUCUGCUUAGUGUUGCAGUUCAGGUUUGGAGCUGGACAAAAGCGAAGAAAAUCCCCCAGUAUAGUGAUGGUUUACAUGCCAGCACAUUGCUGGUACUUCAGAAGAACUAUAAAACCAAAGCCUUUGUGUCUUUUACUGUAGGUCCAGGCUCUGACCUCAGGUGUGGUAGCUUUAUAGGUAGGGAGCUUUAUAUAGAACAGUGAACUCUAAAACCUCACGUAAGAUACUGUCUUCCUGAUGUAGUAAUGAAGAGGACCAAUUCAAGUGCUCUUCAAGGGAAGGAAGAAAGCAGAAACGGGACUAAUUGGAUAUUAAAAUAAUUCUCUUUCAAUUAACUAUUUUCCAAAGUAUUAGCCAAAGAACCCUCCUUACUUCUGAUGCAAGUAAAUGUAUGUCUUGGCUGGUCUGUCUAGUAGAAACUUGUCUGGGCUUGACUUGUGUACUUCCUUCUCUGAGGGAAAUGUGAUGUGGCUGGGGGUGGUCCUUGUUUUUCUCAUUGCUCUCUUGGUUGGUGAAUACUGGUUGGUUUAAUUCCCUCUGGAAAGAGCGGCACAACACGGAGCAGCAGCAUGCAGCUCAGGGGUGCUCCCAGCACCGUGUCUGGUCUCUUCCAGAAUGCAGUGACCUCACCCUCUGUGAGAGAAGAUGUUACAAUCUUGGCUGAUUCCUGUACGUGAGGAAAUGUGUUUUCUCACUGCGGCAGUCACGGAAGUAACACAAAGCCAGUGACCUGGCAGCAAUCAGAGAGGGAGAGGAGGACCCACAACUCCACCACAAGGUCCAGGAUGCAUCUGCACACCCACUGCCAGGUGUGGGAUCAUCCAGGGAUGGUUUUGUUGGAGAACACAUCUCCACCUGACUUCAGUGGGGUCUUCCCCUCAAAGUGAAUGCUAGGCAGCCAUCAAAGCGCUGUUUGUGAGCGAGACUCAUGAACUAAUUAGUCACUAGGCCCAUUAAUCAGAAAGACUAGAAAUAAUUCAGCAGAAUUCGUGCUGUCAGCAAGGAUGAGAAGAGCCUUCUCUAUGACAGCUUACCUUGCAUUUUGAUCAUUAGGCGAUUCGGAGUUUAGCCCAUCCGUCUUGUUUAUCUGCCCUCAGGGGAAAAUAAUCCCUGCAUCCCAGCCAUCUCGACAAGUUUGAAAUUCAAACAUAUUUUCAGUUCUGUCAGUAAAAUAUCAAAUGGGCACAUUCAGGUGAGUAUUGACACACAGCAGUGCCGGUGCCUUUUUUUUUUUUUUUCUCCAAACGUGUUGUAAACAAAUCCUUCCUCUCUCUGCUGCUGUGCUGCAUGUUGUAGCUCAACACCAUCUCAGGGAAAGUGAAAGGUGGAGUGAGUGCACAGGUCAUUAAAAAGUAGUUAAAUUGAAAAAUGCUAAUUUUUCCUAGCAGCCUUCCCAUGACAUGCCAAAAGCCUUCCCCAGUGCAACUCCACCUUCUUGUAUGUUGGGUGAGAUUUAUUGACGUGAUUUGAGUAAGAGGUACAUCUUAGAAUAAUCAAGGCAGUGUUUAUUCUGGCUCUCCUUGCAUCUUUUCCCCACAUCAGAAAUCCAUCCAGAGCCCAUGCAGUAAAAAUUUCUUUAAGAGAUAUGUACCGCACAGUUGGUAUUAAGUAGAUCGGUCACUCUAGAAUGUGUACACUUAACAAGGCAGUAACAGAUGGUCUCAGAUCUUGGUAUGGAGUUGUUGUGGCUGCUGUUUUUUCAUUAAUCGUUAAUUGCUGGAAGAGGAAAUCAUGCAUCUCAGUCUGCCAAAGCCCAGAGAUGGGUCUCGCUGUGUAGCUGGGAUGCAGAGAGUGGAGCAGAGAAGAGAGAUGUCUGGUUGGAAUCCUGGGAUGCGGUGAAUUCGUGCCCUUUGCUAGAAGGACUGUCUGUCAUCUCCAUUUUAGGGAGAUGCAAAGGAAUUUGUCUGGGAUGCAAAGAAAUCUCGACUUGGAGCAGGGAAGGCUCACCAGACUCCCAGGGACUGGAAGCAAUUUGGGAGGUAAAAUGAGUUGUCUCUCCAGGGAAAGUCUGUCUGAGAGGAACUGUUGGCCUACUUGAGGUCGUACGAAUAUGCAGUUGAGACUGCAGAGGGCUGAUGUAAUGGUAAUGCGGACCAGGCCAGGACCAAUUGGUUGUGCUGUAUACAUACCCUGUUUUGUAUUUGUAAUGCAACCAGGUGAAGUGCUUGAUUCCAGAGAUACUGUUUUCAAGUUCUGUUUGUCUGGUGGAGUGUUCGUGGAAAAAUGUUCUUUUAAAUAACCUUUUCUUUCUUGCCCACAGAAUGCAUUUUCACUAUGUUAUUUACUUACCCCCACAAAAGAGAGUUACCAUAGCAAAGUCUUAGAGGAACUGCCGUCACUGUUGAAAAAAUGGACCUACAAGAUUAACCCUGUAGCCCAGCUACCAUUUAUUGACAGAAUUAUAGUUUUUUCUCACUGUAAUUUUUGUUUCUGUUCUUUUCUGUGCUGUUCUUACUGCUGUAUAUUCUUUCCUCAUCCAUUCUUCUAUUGUCAGAAGGUGCUCCUCCUUAGGCUAAGCCUACCUAUGUAGUUUAACCUUGUGUUUCUUUAUGAGAAAUGCAGAUUAAGGAUGGCAUCUGUCUGUUGCAUAUACAUGACAAGUAUGGAGCUUCAUGACUGUGUUGCUUCCAGCUGUUAUAGCUGUGGGUAUUGUUUAUGGGCUCUGCUACCCUAAAAAGACUUCCUUUAGCUGGGGAAGGAUCUCCUUUACCUAUUCUUUUACUCUCUUUGAUAUUUCAGAUAAAAUAAUCUGAUUCCAGGCAGUACAUAUAAACAGUCAGUGUGAUAUGUAUGUUGAGGCCCAGAUCGCUUGUCCAAAUGAUACGCAGCAGAGCUUAGAAAUCCAGACUUUGUAUCCUGGCCGUGUUCCUGCCUCUACCUUUCCUUACUGCCUCAUCAGCUGCCUGUGCUGUAUCACUUCUGGAGAACUUAUUGUAAUACCAUUGUGUUUUUCAUCUAUCCUGAAGUCACGAUGGGUUCAUCCAGUUUCAUUCCGGGAUGGUUGAAGAAGAACAAGUCAAAAACUUCUGACAAAUAUCAAAAAAUCCUUGUGUUGUCAGAAUGAAAUGUAUGGCUGCUUCAAAAGGUAGGAUAAAAAAUUUAUGUUUUGACUUUUUAAUUUCAUAUAAUGUAUUAUAAUGUAAAAUAAAAAACUAGGUCAAAAUUAAUUUCAUACUAGCACAAGCUAGUGGAGUUUUACCUGUAGGCUGUAAUUUUUUUCAAAGUGAAAGGUUUCAUAUAUGUGUAAGGAGAUACCGCUCUCUCUUUUUGUGAUUUUUCUUAUCAGUCUCAUUAUGCCUUUGUGUGAUCCUUCUUUGUGCUGUACCUUACAUAUUGCUAGCAUUUAUUCCUUGUAGUACACAAAUGCUGAUUAUUAAAAGUUUUCAAAGCAUUUUUCAUUUUUAGUAUUACUUCUCUCCUUUUCUAAAACCUCCCUAGGAAUUACAGGUUGGGUAUGACUUGGAAAAUUCUCUUGUUUUGAAGCUUUAAGCAGUGCCGUUUGAUUAGUUUGUGGCUGUUAAGAGUGCAAACUGUCCAAUCCAACAUAGUGACUGAGCCUUCCUCAUGAUCUUGUAAGAAUGCAUCAGUUCCCAGAGGUGCAUAACUCAGAUCUCUUCACUGAUGAAUAGGAAAACCCUGCUGCUGCUUCUGUUACCCUGCAUUAGCAAGAGAAAGAAACAAGUAAGAUGGGAAAAAAAAAAGAAAAAAAAAGAGAAGGAGAAAAUGACCUGCAAAACUGAUGAUGAUACGGAACAAGAAAGAAUAAAAGGAGAAAAUAUUAACAACUGGUCUGAAUAGCCUUUCUUUAUGCUACUUGGAGCUGCUUUUUUUUGUUGUUUGUUUGUUUGUUUGUGGCUUUUUUUUUUAAUGGUGGAAGAAUGUUUAACAUCAGUUAUAACAAAGGUUCUCUUUUUUUUUUUUUUUUAAUUCACUGUUUCUUUAAGGAGUCUUGCUCUUAAUCCAUUAGCAGUCAUUUCUUCCAGCUAGGUGCAAUAGUCAGUUGUUAGUGCACAUUUUGACCAUCCAUCUUCAAUUAUCCAUUAAUGCUUUCUCACACGGUGCACAGAAGGCAUGCACCGAUGGCUAAUGCACAUUCUGUUGGUUGCACUUCAGUGGUCUUUCAUCUUUUCCUGUUGAAGCAGUCGUCAUCUACCUGCCUGAGGUGUAAGUGUGCACUGAAGUCAGUGGGAGAAGAGUGAUGCAUGCUGCUGGUUCCCAGUUCUCCCACAGAUGUUCUGGAUGCCCUUGGGUGUCGCGCUUACAGCGCUGUCUGCCUCAGUCCGUAUCUGUUGAGAAGCGAUGAUGGUAUUUCCUUUGUCUGCUUACCCUGCAGACCAGCUCUUUAAGGACUGUGACCUCCUGAAGCCUCAUAAUAUUACUGUACUAUAAGACAAGAAUAGUUUUCUUAAUUUAAUUUUUAAUUGAAGGUUUUUUAUUCAGUUUAAAAUGUGAAGAUUUUUAUCGCGUUAUGGCUAUCCGUAAAGAUGACCAGUGUAUUCAUGUGGCACGUACUGAUUGGUAUCCUAUAUUUAUUUUGACUUUCCAGGCUGAAAGGUGAUGACCUUCAUCUUAUCCAUGGAAAUUUUUAGAGCAGUGCUCAUGCUUUUCUUGCUGCAAAACAUACCAAACAUUAGUUAAAGCUGUAAAGGAGAUGAACAGUGUAUUGGGACCGUGCUGCUCUGCUAUCAUCUGGUAUAAUGGUUUUCUUUUUGCCAUUUAAGAUUAAAACACAUAUGGAACUUGC